rnacentral:rRNA from 1 species
GCUGGCGGCGUGCUUAACACAUGCAAGUCGAACGAAGCACUUAAGAAGAUUUCUUCGGAUUGAAUCUUUUGUGACUUAGUGGCGGACGGGUGAGUAACGCGUGGGCAACCUGCCUCUGUCUGGGGGAUAACAGUUAGAAAUGACUGCUAAUACCGCAUAAGCGCACAUUUCCGCAUGGAAGAGUGUGAAAAACGUUAGUGGACAGAGAUGGACCCGCGUUAGAUUAGCUAGUUGGUGGGGUAACGGCCUACCAAAGCGACGAUCUAUAGCCGGCCUGAGAGGGCGACCGGCCACAUUGGGACUGAGACACGGCCCAAACUCCUACGGGAGGCAGCAGUGGGGAAUAUUGCACAAUGGGGGAAACCCUGAUGCAGCGACGCCGCGUGAGUGAAGAAGUAUUUCGGUAUGUAAAGCUCUAUCAGCAGGGAAGAAAAUGACGGUACCUGACUAAGAAGCCCCGGCUAACUACGUGCCAGCAGCCGCGGUAAUACGUAGGGGGCAAGCGUUAUCCGGAUUUACUGGGUGUAAAGGGAGCGCAGACGGCAGUGCAAGUCUGAAGUGAAAGCUCGCGGCUCAACCGCGGAACUGCUUUGGAAACUGUACAGC